UUCACGUGUGUUCGAUGUUGUCGCAUUUGCAGUGUUUUUUUCGGAGGACAUUGAUACAUUGAACAUGUCAGGCGAUAGACAUAUGUUAACAUUUCCGUUGAUGGUAUUUCCAGACAACAAGCUUGUCAGAAAAUGUUGAUUCUGAAGGCGGCUGGACACAGAUUGCAUCGUAAAUCCACCCUGCAUUGGUGCCGAGUCCGGAUUUCGAUCAGCUGUUGUGACUGUGCUGCUGGCGGUGUUACUGUUUGACAGAAUGCGAGAUAUUCCCUUCUGCUUUUCAGUAUUCAUACUUGACUGUCAUCUCACCAGAUAUCUGAAUGAUGUCAUUGGGAGAAACGCCACUGUCUGUCAACUUCUGGACCAGGUGUUUCCUCAUGCUGA